rnacentral:ribozyme from 1 species
GGAAUGAAGGUAAGGAGAAAGAAAGAAGGAAGAAAGACAUGGAAAUUCCCUUUUUCUUUUCUUUUUAGUUAAUCCGCUGGCAUCCUUUUCAUCUUGUACUUUCCUUUCUAA